rnacentral:misc_RNA from 1 species
AACCUCACCCCACUUGGGUUUUUGCCUGAGCGGUGGUGGAUUGGGCGUCUGCCGUUACUGGCUCGCCUGAAAAGCAUAAGCACCUUGGAUGUAAUACGUUUCAUCCUUAUGGGUGGCUAACAACCCCACAUAUCUCAUG